rnacentral:ribozyme from 1 species
AUACAGAAAUAAUGAUAGGUAUCGCUCAUUCCGCAUUUUUGCAUUUUCUUUUUUUUUCUUUUUUAGGACAUUUCGUU